rnacentral:rRNA from 1 species
UACGUAGGGAGCAAGCGUUGUUCGGAUUUACUGGGCGUAAAGGGCGCGUAGGCGGCGCGGUAAGGCAAUUGUGAAAUCUCUGAGCUUAACUCAGAAAGGCCAAGUGAUACUGCAGUGCUAGAGUGCAGAAGGGGCAAUCGGAAUUCUUGGUGUAGCGGUGAAAUGCGUAGAUAUCAAGAGGAACACCUGAGGUGAAGACGGGUUGCUGGGCCAACACUGACGCUGAUGCGCGAAAGCCAGGGGAGCAAACGGG